CGAGCGGUUCUGCGGCGGCCCCGAUCCGCCCUCAGGCUGCGGCGAGCGGGCGCCCGUGCGGCUCCUGCCCGGGGCGCGCAGCGGCGGAGGCGGCGGCGGCGCUCGGGAGGCGGCUGCGGGAGAAGUGGGGCAGGAAGCGCCGGAGGAGCUGGUUUUCUCCUUCGGGCGAUGUGCCACAUCAUGACAGACAAGCAGCAAUACAACUUCACCUUGCCUCGCCUGGUUCGCACACCUUGUAUGUAGCCCACCACAGUCCUCGACAGAGUUAAAUACAGCAUGGGAGAGGAGAAAAACUAAAAUGUGUAAGGCAAAGGAAAACAGGAGACUGGAAUGAGGCAUUCUGUUGCAUCUCAUCCUCAACCAAGUUUGCAAUAGAUUUUAGUUUAAGCUCUUCUGCGUUGAACUGUCGCUGUUUUGCCCGUAGAGUUUAGCGCCCUCCAGCGGCAGAAGAUUGGCCAGACCAAUAAUACUGAAUUUCACUGGUUACGUCAAGGAAAGGAAGAUUGAAAAUAGGCGUCAGACAUUCUUAUCAUGCGGACUGAGUGACAAGAUAUCUAUAAGAAAAGAAUCCUAUUAUCUCCUUCUAGCUACCUUUCAUGUCGACUGAUAUCUACAAGACAAAAUGUCUGCCUUCUACAAAAGCUACUGUUUAAAGUUUAGAUUGUCAACAAAGACUGCCUGCCAAACACCGUGCACUUUUGUGGUGGCACUAAAGUAAUAAUGAUGAUGCCAUGCACAUGUAAUAGUUUAAUCAGGUUAAAGUGCCUGAUCUUGUUUGGAAACGCAUGUUUGCAGGAAACUGGUAUUGGACAGAGUCAUUAAAUAAACUCAUAUUAUGAUUAUCAAAAA